UACGAAGGGUGCAAGCGUUACUCGGAAUUACUGGGCGUAAAGGGUGCGUAGGUGGUUUGUUAAGUCUGAUGUGAAAUCUAUGGGCUCAACUCAUAGUCUGCAUCGGAAACUGCCGGGCUUGAGUGUGGGAGAGGUGAGUGGAAUUCCUGGUGUAGCGGUGAAAUGCGUAGAUAUCAGGAGGAACACCUGUGGCGAAAGCGGCUCACUGGACCAUAACUGACGCUGAUGCACGAAAGCUAGGGGAGCAAACAGG
rnacentral:rRNA from 1 species